CCUACGGGUGGCAGCAGUGGGGAAUAUUGGGCAAUGGGCGCAAGCCUGACCCAGCAACGCCGCGUGAAGGAAGAAGGCUUUCGGGUUGUAAACUUCUUUUAGCAGGGAAGAGCAGAAGACGGUACCUCUUGAAUAAGCCACGGCUAACUACGUGCCAGCAGCCGCGGUAAUACGUAGGUGGCAAGCGUUGUCCGGAUUUACUGGGUGUAAAGGGCGUGGAGCCGGGAAGACAAGUCAGAGGUGAAAUCCUGCGGCUUAACCGCGGAACUGCGUUUGAAACUGUUGAUCUUGAGUACUGGAGAGGCAAGCGGAAUGCCUAGUGUAGCGGUGAAAUGCGUAGAUAUUAGGAAGAACACCAGUGGCGAAGGCGGAUUACUGGACGGCAACUGACGGUGAGGCGCGAAAGCGUGGGGAGCAAACAGGAUUAGAUACCCGUGUAGUC
rnacentral:rRNA from 1 species